UGCACUACCUGCCAUGUCACCAGAUUGAAGAUAUAUGCUCUUGACAUUUCUGGUGAAAUUCCCAAUGAACUAUUCAUGUUAAAGGAACUGCAAAACUUGAAUUUGGCUCAAAAUGUAUUAAGUGGACCCAUCCCACCUGAAAUUGGACAGUUAACAAAUAUGAAUUACCUGUGGACUGCUAAGUUGCCUGUAUCGUUGAGCCGACUCUAAGGUAGCGGUUACUGUGGUCACCCCCAAAUUUGGGCACUUGCCGGUCGCCGCUCCUACCUUUCUUGUCAAGGAAAAGAAGAAGAAGAAAGGCUCAGUAAUAGAUAUCUCUUUUUAUGAUUGACCAAGUAAACAAUUUUAAUAAUGCAAUUAGAUGAACUCACUCAUUCCAAUUGAGGACAUAUUUGUAAAUUAUAUAUUGGUCAUCCCUUUUUUCUUUUUUGACAAAACAAACAGAGCGUUAAUCGCAUUCUAUUUACCUGUUAAAUCCUGAACUAUCGGAUAAUAA